GGGUUGUGAGGUUAAGCGACUAAGCGUACACGGUGGAUGCCCUGGCAGUCAGAGGCGAUGAAGGGCGUGCUAAUCUGCGAUAAGCGCCGGUAAGGUGAUAUGAACCGUUAUAACCGGCGAUUUCCGAAUGGGGAAACCCAGUGUGAUUCGUCACACUAUCAUUAACUGAAUCCAUAGGUUAAUGAGGCGAACCGGGGGAACUGAAACAUCUAAGUACCCCGAGGAAAAGAAAUCAACCGAGAUUCCCCCAGUAGCGGCGAGCGAACGGGGAGGAGCCCAGAGCCUGAAUCAGCAUGUGUGUUAGUGGAAGCGUCUGGAAAGGCGCGCGAUACAGGGUGACAGCCCCGUACACAAAAGCGUAUGUGCUGUGAGCUCGAUGAGUAGGGCUGGACACGUGGUAUCCUGUCUGAAUAUGGGGGGACCAUCCUCCAAGGCUAAAUACUCCUGACUGACCGAUAGUGAACCAGUACCGUGAGGGAAAGGCGAAAAGAACCCCGGCGAGGGGAGUGAAAAAGAACCUGAAACCGUGUACGUACAAGCAGUGGGAGCACCCUUUGGGGUGUGACUGCGUACCUUUUGUAUAAUGGGUCAGCGACUUAUAUUCUGUAGCAAGGUUAACCGAAUAGGGGAGCCGGAGGGAAACCGAGUCUUAAUUGGGCGUUAAGUUGCAGGGUAUAGACCCGAAACCCGGUGAUCUAGCCAUGGGCAGGUUGAAGGUUGGGUAACACUAACUGGAGGACCGAACCGACUAAUGUUGAAAAAUUAGCGGAUGACCUGUGGCUGGGGGUGAAAGGCCAAUCAAACCGGGAGAUAGCUGGUUCUCCCCGAAAGCUAUUUAGGUAGCGCCUCGUGAAUUCAUCUCCGGGGGUAGAGCACUGUUUCGGCUAGGGGGUCAUCCCGACUUACCAACCCGAUGCAAACUGCGAAUACCGGAGAAUGUUAUCACGGGAGACACACGGCGGGUGCUAACGUCCGUCGUGAAGAGGGAAACAACCCAGACCGCCAGCUAAGGUCCCAAAGUCAUGGUUAAGUGGGAAACGAUGUGGGAAGGCCCAGACAGCCAGGAUGUUGGCUUAGAAGCAGCCAUCAUUUAAAGAAAGCGUAAUAGCUCACUGGUCGAGUCGGCCUGCGCGGAAGAUGUAACGGGGCUAAACCAUGCACCGAAGCUGCGGCAGCGACACUCAGGUGU
rnacentral:rRNA from 1 species